CAUGCUUAACACAUGCAAGUCGCACGAGGGGGCAACCCCUCAGUGGCGGACGGGUGAGUAACGUGUAGGUAUCUAUCCAUGGUGGGGGAUAACAGCGGGAAACUGCUGCUAAUACCGCAUGACACCUGAGGGUCAAAGGCGCAAGUCGCCUGUGGAGGAGCCUUCGUCCGAUUAGCUAGUUGGUGGGGUAAAGGCCUACCAAGGCGACGAUCGGUAGCUGGUCUGAGAGGGAGACCCCCCACACUGGUACUGAGACACGGCCCAGACUCC
rnacentral:rRNA from 1 species